rnacentral:rRNA from 1 species
AAUGAACGUUGGCGGCGUGGAUUAGGCAUGCAAGUCGAGCGAGAACCGUAGCAAUACGGGGACAGCGGCGAAAGGGACAGUAAUGUGUAGGUACCUACCCCUGGGUCCGGGAUAGCUACGGGAAACUGCAGGUAAUACCGAAUAAUGUCUCCGGACCAAAGGUGUGAUUCCACCUGGGGAGGGGCCUGCAUCCUAUUAGCUUGUUGGCGGGGUAACGGCCCACCAAGGCAACGAUGGGUAGCGGGUGUGAGAGCACGACCCGCGUCAUUGGGACUGAGAUACUGCCCAGACACCUACGGGUGGCUGCAGUCGAGGAUCUUCGGCAAUGGGCGAAAGCCUGACCGAGCGACGCCGCGUGCGGGAUGAAGGCCUUCGGGUUGUAAACCGCUGUCGUAGAGGAGGAAAUGCAGGGGGGUUCUCCCCUUUGCUUGACCUAUUCUAGGAGGAAGUACGGGCUAAGUUCGUGCCAGCAGCCGCAGUAA